rnacentral:rRNA from 1 species
GACGAACGCUGGCGGCGUGCCUAAUACAUGCAAGUCGAGCGGAACUGGGGGAGCUUGCUCCUUCCAGUUUAGCGGCGGACGGGUGAGUAACACGUGGGCAACCUGCCCUGCAGAUCGGGAUAACUCCGGGAAACCGGUGCUAAUACCGAAUAGUUUGGCGCCUCUCCUGAGGCGCUACGGAAAGACGGUUUCGGCUGUCACUGCAGGAUGGGCCCGCGGCGCAUUAGCUAGUUGGUGGGGUAACGGCCCACCAAGGCGACGAUGCGUAGCCGACCUGAGAGGGUGACCGGCCACACUGGGACUGAGACACGGCCCAGACUCCUACGGGAGGCAGCAGUAGGGAAUCUUCCGCAGUGGACGCAAGUCUGAUGGAGCAACGCCGCGUGAGUGACGAAGGUUUUCGGAUCGUAAAACUCUGUUGUGAGGGAAGAACACGUACCAACUAACUAUUGGUACCUUGACGGUACCUCACCAGAAAGCCACGGCUAACUACGUGCCAGCCGCCGCGGUAA